CCUUUCUUGAUCUAAUUAAAUUUAAAUUUAACUUAUUUAAUCACAUGUUCAUUAUUCAAUUUCAUCCAAAAACACAUAAAUGGGCAUUUUUUACUUUGGCCCCUAAUAUUUCAGAUUUUCUCAAUUUAGUCCCUAUUUCAGAACAACUCAAAAAAACACAAAAUUUCAUCAUGCUCAUAUUAGGCCAAAUUUUCCCUAGGUCCCUAGCAGCCUAUUAAUUCCAUUUAUUUCGCAUGUUGACCCCUCAAUUUACAAAUUUCACAAUUUAAU
rnacentral:lncRNA from 1 species